AUCUAGGUGUCGAGUCCCAAUUAAGACGAAACGCGCGUCCUGGAU
rfam:Schistosoma rodhaini strain Burundi genome assembly, scaffold: SROB_scaffold0001001